rnacentral:rRNA from 1 species
GAUGAACGCUGGCGGCGUGCCUAAUACAUGCAAGUCGAGCGAACAGACGAGGAGCUUGCUCCUCUGACGUUAGCGGCGGACGGGUGAGUAACACGUGGAUAACCUACCUAUAAGACUGGGAUAACUUCGGGAAACCGGAGCUAAUACCGGAUAACAUGUUGAACCGCAUGGUUCAACAGUGAAAGACGGUCUUGCUGUCACUUAUAGAUGGAUCCGCGCCGCAUUAGCUAGUUGGUAAGGUAACGGCUUACCAAGGCAACGAUGCGUAGCCGACCUGAGAGGGUGAUAGGCCACACUGGAACUGAGACACGGUCCAGACUCCUAAGGGAGGCAGCAGUAGGGAAUCUUCCGCAAUGGGCGAAAGCAUGACGGAGCAACGCCGCGUGAGUGAAGAAGGUCUUCGGAUCGUAAAACUCUGUUAUUAGGGAAGAACAAAUGUGUAAGUAACUAUGCACGUCUUGACGGUACCUAAUCAGAAAGCCACGGCUAACUACGUG